AUGACCUCAAUCAGAUGAGACUACCCGCUGAACUUAAGCAUAUCAAUAAGCGGAGGAAAGAACUACAGGAUCCCUCAGUAACGGCGAGUGAAGAGGGAAGAGCUCAGUUUUGAAUCUGGCAGUCAUUCACUGUCCGAGUUGUAA
rnacentral:rRNA from 1 species